rnacentral:siRNA from 1 species
UAACUAGUGCAUAUACUCAACA